rnacentral:rRNA from 1 species
GUCUACGGCCAUACUACCCUGAACACGCCCAAUCUCGUCUGAUCUCGGAAGCUAAGCAGGGUCAGGCCUGGUUAGUACUUAGAUGGGAAUACCGGGUGCCGUAGGCU